GAGGGUGUAGCUCAAGCGGUAGAGCACAUGCUUAGCAUGCACGAGGUUCUGGGUUCAAUCCUUGGCAUCGCCU
rnacentral:tRNA from 1 species